AACGAACGCUGGCGGCAUGCCUAACACAUGCAAGUCGAACGAGACCUUCGGGUCUAGUGGCGCACGGGUGUGUAACGCGUGGGAACCUGCCCUUAGGUUCGGAAUAACUCCCCGAAAGGGGUGCUAAUACCGGAUAAUGUCUUCGGACCAAAGAUUUAUCGCCUUUGGAUGGGCCCGCGUUGGAUUAGCUAGUUGGUAGGGUAAAAGCCUACCAAGGCGACGAUCCAUAGCUGGUCUGAGAGGAUGAUCAGCCACACUGGGACUGAGACACGGCCCAGACUCCUACGGGAGGCAGCAGUGGGGAAUAUUGGACAAUGGGCGAAAGCCUGAUCCAGCAAUGCCGCGUGAGUGAUGAAGGCCUUAGGGUUGUAAAGCUCUUUUACCCGGGAUGAUAAUGACUGUACCGGGAGAAUAAGCUCCGGCUAACUCCGUG
rnacentral:rRNA from 1 species